rnacentral:SRP_RNA from 1 species
GCCAGGCACGGUGGCGCAUGCCUGUAGUCCCAGCUACUCAGGAGGCUGAGGUGGGAGGAUCCCUUGAGCCCAGGAGUUCUGGACUGUAGUGUGCUAUGCUGAUUGGGUGUCUGCACUAAAUUCGGCAUCGGUACGGUGACCUCCCAGGAUCAGGGGACCACCAGGUUGCCUAAGGAUGGGGGAACCGGUCCAGGUCGGAAAUGGAGCAGGUCAAAACUCCUGUGCUGAUCAGUACUGGUAUCGCACCUGUGAAUAGCCACUGCACUCCAGCCUGGGCAACACAGCAAGACCCCAGCUCU